rfam:Columba livia unplaced genomic scaffold scaffold72, whole genome shotgun sequence.
GUGAGGUGAUGACGCAGUUUAUCCAUUCUCUGAGUGCAGUGGCACUGCCCCCCUGCAGCACUCCGAUUCCUGUUCUAGGGUCUGGGUGUUGUGCAGCCUCCAGACACCCUGCAGUCUCCCAGUGUCCUGCUGGGGGCUGCUGUGGUGUGUGUGGGGCUGCCUGCAGGAGGGAAGUGGUGCCGGCAGGGUUGGAGUCCCUCUUUUUGGGGGCUCCAUCCUCGCUGAGAUGAGGGAUGAUGUCUGAUCAC